UACGGAGGUGGCAAGCGUUGCUCGGAUUUACUGGGUGUAAAGGGCACGUAGGCGGCCCCGUAAGCCCCACCUAAAUGCCCUGGCUCAACCAGGGUACGUGGUGGGGACUGCAGGGCUUGAGGGUUGGAGAGGCGAGCGGAAUUCCCGGUGUAAGGGUGAAAUCUGUAGAUAUCGGGAGGAACACCAGUGGCGAAGGCGGCUCGCUGGCCAAUUUCUGACGCUGAGGUGCGAAAGCUAGGGGAGCGAACAGGAUUAGAAACCCUGGUAGU
rnacentral:rRNA from 1 species